rnacentral:rRNA from 1 species
GACGUAGGUGGCAAGCGUUAUCCGGAUUUACUGAGCGUAAAGCGCGUGCAGGUGGUUUGAUAAGUCGGGCGUGAAAUCUCUUGGCUCAACUGGGAGAGGCCGUCCGAUACUAUCAGACUUGAGGGCAGUAGAGGGAGGUGGAAUUCCGGGUGUAGUGGUGAAAUGCGUAGAUAUCCGGAGGAACACCGGUGGCGAAGGCGGCCUCCUGGACUGCCCCUGACACUCAGACGCGAAAGCUAGGGGAGCGAACGGG